rnacentral:snoRNA from 1 species
CCUAUCGACAAUGAUGAAUGAUAUCUUUUAUUUUGAAUGGCCUUGAUUUUGAAUACAAUCCCAUUGUCUCCUCUAUCUUGGGCCGGAGAUCCCAUCUCUAUCAAUGACCUUUAUGCUCAAGUCAUGGCAUAUGAGA